GUCCUUGUAGCGCGAUGAAUUGCGCGCGUUGGACUUCUAAUCCAAAGGUCGUGGGCUUGAAUCCCACCUGGGAUC